GGGUUUUAUCUUUUAUUUCAUCAGCAAAUUUGUCAGCAAAUUCAAUGGCUAGAUCUAUAGGGAUAAUAGAUCCUUUUUCUAUGCUAUGACCCAAAAAUCUAACUUUUGUCUAAAAGAGUUUAAUCUUUCUGGCUGAGACAACUAAGCCAUUUGACUGAAUAAUUUUGUUGAACACUUUUAAUUGUUUAAAAUGUUGAUUAAUUGUCCCGGAGAAAAUAAGGAUAUCAUCAAUGUAUACUAUGAUAAAUGUUGUAUAAGCAUUAAAUAUUUUA
rnacentral:misc_RNA from 1 species